rnacentral:rRNA from 1 species
GCUUGUCUCAAAGAUUAAGCCAUGCAUGUCUAAGUAUAAACGCUUUAUACUGUGAAACUGCGAAUGGCUCAUUAUAUCAGUUAUAGACUAUUCAAUAAUCUCUUACUACUUGGAUAACCGUAGUAAUUCUAGAGCUAAUACAUGCGUAAAUACCCAACUGCUUGUCGGACGGGUAGCAUUUAUUAGAUUGAAACCAAUGCAGCUUCGGCUGGUAUUGUGUUGAGUCAUAAUAACUGUGCGGAUCGCUUUUUAAGCGAUAAAUCGAUUGAGUUUCUGCCCUAUCAGCUUUGGAUGGUAGGAUAUGGGCCUACCAUGGCGUUAACGGGUAACGGGGAAUUAGGGUUUGAUUCCGGAGAGGGAGCCUUAGAAACGGCUACCACAUCCAAGGAAGGCAGCAGG